rnacentral:rRNA from 1 species
AAUAGAUACCCCGGUAGUCCACCCCGUAAACGUUGGGAACUAGUUGUGGGGUCCUUUCCACGGAUUCCGUGACGCAGCUAACGCAUUAAGUUCCCCGCCUGGGGAGUACGGCCGCAAGGCUAAAACUCAAAGGAAUUGACGGGGACCCGCACAAGCGGCGGAGCAUGCGGAUUAAUUCGAUGCAACGCGAAGAACCUUACCAAGGCUUGACAUACACCAGAACACCCUAGAAAUAGGGGACUCUUUGGACACUGGUGAACAGGUGGUGCAUGGUUGUCGUCAGCUCGUGUCGUGAGAUGUUGGGUUAAGUCCCGCAACGAGCGCAACCCUCGUUCUAUGUUGCCAGCACGUAAUGGUGGGAACUCAUGGGAUACUGCCGGGGUCAACUCGGAGGAAGGUGGGGAUGACGUCAAAUCAUCAUGCCCCUUAUGUCUUGGGCUUCACGCAUGCUACAAUGGCCGGUACAAAGGGCUGCAAUACCGUGAGGUGGAGCGAAUCCCAAAAAGCCGGUCCCAGUUCGGAUUGAGGUCUGCAACUCGACCCCAUG